AGAAAAGAGGAGUUUAAGCUAUAAGCAUUUGCAGAUGACCUGGUUUUUAUCUUAGAGGAUCCAUUAGAAACAGCACCUAAAUUGAUAGAAAUGAUAGAGGAAUAUGGAAAGGUAGCAGGUUUGAAAAUAAAUAAAGAUAAAAUGAAGAUUUUGAC